GACGAACGCUGGCGGCGUGCCUAACACAUGCAAGUCGAGCGAGUGAAUCUCCUUCGGGAGUGAAACUAGCGGCGGACGGGUGAGUAACACGUGGGUAACCUGCCUCAUAGAGGGGAAUAGCCUUCCGAAAGGGAGAUUAAUACCGCAUAAGAUUGUAGCUUCGCAUGAAGUAGCAAUUAAAGGAGCAAUCCGCUAUGAGAUGGGCCCGCGGCGCAUUAGCUAGUUGGUGAGGUAACGGCUCACCAAGGCGACGAUGCGUAGCCGACCUGAGAGGGUGAUCGGCCACAUUGGGACUGAGACACGGCCCAGACUCCUACGGGGGGCAGCAGUGGGGAAUAUUGCACAAUGGGGAAACCCUGAUGCAGCAACGCCGCGUGAGUGAUGACGGCCUUCGGGUUGUAAGCUCUGUCUUCAGGGACGAUAAUGACGGUACCUGAGGAGGAAGCCACGGCUAACUACGUGCCAGCCGCCGCCGUAA
rnacentral:rRNA from 1 species